rnacentral:rRNA from 1 species
UUGAAGAGUUUGAUCAUGGCUCAGAUUGAACGCUGGCGGCAGGCCUAACACAUGCAAGUCGAACGGUAACAGGAAACAGCUUGCUGUUUCGCUGACGAGUGGCGGACGGGUGAGUAAUGUCUGGGAAACUGCCUGAUGGAGGGGGAUAACUACUGGAAACGGUAGCUAAUACCGCAUAACGUCGCAAGACCAAAGAGGGGGACCUUCGGGCCUCUUGCCAUCAGAUGUGCCCAGAUGGGAUUAGCUAGUAGGUGGGGUAACGGCUCACCUAGGCGACGAUCCCUAGCUGGUCUGAGAGGAUGACCAGCCACACUGGAACUGAGACACGGUCCAGACUCCUACGGGAGGCAGCAGUGGGGAAUAUUGCACAAUGGGCGCAAGCCUGAUGCAGCCAUGCCGCGUGUAUGAAGAAGGCCUUCGGGUUGUAAAGUACUUUCAGCGGGGAGGAAGGGGUAAAGUUAAUACCUUUGCUCAUUGACGUUACCCGCAGAAGAAGCACCGGCUAACUCCGUGCCAGCAGCCGCGGUAAUACGGAGGGUGCAAGCGUUAAUCGGAAUUACUGGGCGUAAAGCGCACGCAGGCGGUUUGUUAAGUCAGAUGUGAAAUCCCGGGCUCAACGGGAACUGCAUCUGAUACUGGCAAGCUUGAGUCUCGUAGAGGGGGGUAGAAUUCCAGGUGUAGCGGUGAAAUGCGUAGAGAUCUGGAGGAAUACCGGUGGCGAAGGCGGCCCCCUGGACGAAGACUGACGCUCAGGUGCGAAAGCGUGGGGAGCAAACAGGAUUAGAUACCCUGGUAGUCCACGCCGUAAACGAUGUCGACUUGGAGGUUGUGCCCUUGAGGCGUGGCUUCCGGAGCUAACGCGUUAAGUCGACCGCGGGAGUACGGCCGCAAGGUUAAAACUCAAAUGAAUUGACGGGGGCCCGCACAAGCGGUGGAGCAUGUGGUUUAAUUCGAUGCAACGCGAAGAACCUUACCUGGUCUUGACAUCCACGGAAGUUUUCAGAGAUGAGAAUGUGCCUUCGGGAACCGUGAGACAGGUGCUGCAUGGCUGUCGUCAGCUCGUGUUGUGAAAUGUUGGGUUAAGUCCCGCAACGAGCGCAACCCUUAUCCUUUGUUGCCAGCGGUCCGGCCGGGAACUCAAAGGAGACUGCCAGUGAUAAACUGGAGGAAGGUGGGGAUGACGUCAAGUCAUCAUGGCCCUUACGACCAGGGCUACACACGUGCUACAAUGGCGCAUACAAAGAGAAGCGACCUCGCGAGAGCAAGCGGACCUCAUAAAGUGCGUCGUAGUCCGGAUUGGAGUCUGCAACUCGACUCCAUGAAGUCGGAAUCGCUAGUAAUCGUGGAUCAGAAUGCCACGGUGAAUACGUUCCCGGGCCUUGUACACACCGCCCGUCACACCAUGGGAGUGGGUUGCAAAAGAAGUAGGUAGCUUAACCUUCGGGAGGGCGCUUACCACUUUGUGAUUCAUGACUGGGGUGAAGUCGUAACAAGGUAACCGUAGGGGAACCUGCGGUUGGAUCACCUCCUU